UAAACUCCUGUUGUUGAGGAAGAUAAUGACGGUACUCAACAAGGAAGUGACGGCUAACUACGUGCCAGCAGCCGCGGUAAAACGUAGGUCACAAGCGUUGUCCGGAAUUACUGGGUGUAAAGGGAGCGCAGGCGGGAAGACAAGUUGGAAGUGAAAUCCAUGGGCUCAACCCAUGAACUGCUUUCAAAACUGUUUUUCUUGAGUAGUGCAGAGGUAGGCGGAAUUCCCGGUGUAGCGGUGGAAUGCGUAGAUAUCGGGAGGAACACCAGUGGCGAAGGCGGCCUACUGGGCACCAACUGACGCUGAGGCUCGAAAGUGUGGGUAGCAAACAGGAUUAGAUACCCUGGUAGUCCACACCGUAAACGAUGAUUACUAGGUGUUGGAGGAUUGACCCCUUCAGUGCCGCAGUUAACACAAUAAGUAAUCCACCUGGGGAGUACGACCGCAAGGUUGAAACUCAAAGGAAUUGACGGGGGCCCGCACAAGCAGUGGAGUAUGUGGUUUAAUUCGACGCAACGCGAAGAACCUUACCAAGUCUUGACAUCCCUUGACGAUGCURGAAAYAGGAUUUCUCUUCGGAGCAAGGAGACAGGUGGUGCAUGGUUGUCGUCAGCUCGUGUCGUGAGAUGUUGGGUUAAGUCCCGCAACGAGCGCAACCCUUAUGGUCAGUUACUACGCAAGAGGACUCUGGCCGGACUGCCGUUGACAAA
rnacentral:rRNA from 1 species